CUGAUGGACUAAAAGGAGAAGUGCAGGACAAACGCGGCUAAUCGAUCAAAGCAACUAUAAACCCACACUGGUGGUUCGAAAAGCUUUGCACGGCGGAUGGAAGAAGAGUUUGAAGAAAAGGGAGGGG